AUGGCUGCAGAAGAGGCAUGGAUGUGUCCUGUCUGCCGCGAGGUGCGGCAGGACAUGGCCUGCGCAAUUCCAUGCCAUCACAGUUUCUGCUUUGGCUGCAUCCAGCGGUGGGCGAGGCUGAGGGACAGCUGCCCGCUGUGCAGGAUGGCCAUGGAGACCAUCCGGGUCUCCGUGCGGGGAGACAAUCAGUACGUGGAUUGCGUCGUCUCCCCGCCUGCAGUACCGGUGCCCGUCGGCUUCGGCACCACCACUGCUACUGGCCCUGACAGCGAUGAGGACCUUCUUCCACCCCUUCCACCAUCACCCCCUGAGCCCGUGGCCGAAGAGCUGGAGUGGAUUGGCGGCCUCCUGCUGGAGGAAUGGGCGACACUUUUCACUGAGAGACAAGACAUCCUCAACCCGGUGAUGCCCUGGCUGGAGCAGGAAUUACGCCGCAAUGGGGAACUGCGUUGGUGGAAGAUCAAAUGGAUAAAGAGCAUUAUCCUGGCAUUCCUGUGCCAGGUGGGGCCAGACAGGGACAUCCUAGUGCGGUCCAUAAUGGACAUCACGGGACCCAUCACCGUACCACUCAUCGAUGGCCUCAUCACAACCAUUGAGAGCCAGUGUGGCCAGGCGGCCCGGAGGCUGCUGGGCCUCGAAGAUCCUAGAGCUGCCCAGCCGCAGGAGGACGGCCCCGCGACCCCGUCCGGUCCUGCCGCCUCCCCGCAAGAUACCGUCGCUCCCAGCGCCGUGCCCUCCGGCAGCUCCGCGGGUCCCGACACAGAGGAGCUCCCCGGCACGUCCAGCGGGGCCCUCGGCACAGGUCCCGGCGAGGAGCCGACACCCGAGGCAGCCGGUCCCUCUGCCCAGCGCCGCAGCCGCGGCCCCUCCGCUCACGGCCGGGGCAGGAAGCGCUCGGCUGGGGGGCGCCGGCGCCCCACCAAGAGGAGGGCCGGCAGCGCCCAGCGCGAUCCUCCGCCCUGCAAGAGGCGGCGCUCCCGGCGCCUACAGAGGCGCUGUCACAGAGUUAACUAG
rnacentral:lncRNA from 1 species